rnacentral:rRNA from 1 species
UAACGAGGAUUCCCCUAGUAACUGCGAGUGAAGCGGGAAAAGCUCAAAUUUAAAAUCUGGCGGUCUUUGGCCGUCCGAGUUGUAUUCUGGAGAAGCGUCUUCUACGCCGGACCGUGUACAAGUCCCUUGGAACAGGGCGUCAUAAAGGGUGAGAAUCCCGUCCAUGACACGGACCGCCGGUGGUUUGUGAUGCGCUCUCGAAAAGUCGAGUUGUUUGGGAAUGCAGCUCAAAAUGGGUGGUAAAUUCCAUCUAAAGCUAAAUACUGGCGAGAGACCGAUAGCGAACAAGUACCGUGAGGGAAAGAUGAAAAGCACUUUGGAAAGAGAGUUAAACAGUACGUGAAAUUGCUGAAAGGGAAACGCUUGAAGUCAGUCGCGUCGGCCGGGGCUCAGCCUUGCAUUCGUUUGCUCGGUUUACUUCCCGGUCGACGGGCCAGCGUCGAUUUUGACCGUCGGAGAAGGGCCAGAGGAAAGUGGCACCUUCGGGUGUGUUAUAGCCUUCGGUCGCAUACGACGGUGGGGAUCGAGGAACGCAGCACGCCUUCAAUGGCCGGGGCAUUCGUGCCCACGCAUCGUGCUUAGGAUGCUGGCGUAAUGGCUUUAAACGACCCGUCUUGAAACACGGACCAAGGAGUCUAACGUGCCUGCGAGUGUUAGGGUGGAAAACCCGAGCGCGCAAUGAAAGUGAAAGUCGAGAUCUCUGUCAUGGAGAGCAUCGACGCCCGGACCUGAGCUGCUUGCGAGGGAUUUGCGGUAGAGCACGCACGUUGGGACCCGAAAGAUGGUGAACUAUGCCUGAAUAGGGUGAAGCCAGAGGAAACUCUGGUGGAGGCUCGUAGCGAUUCUGACGUGCAAAUCGAUCGUCGAAUUUGGG